GAUGAACGCUGGCGGCGUGCCUAAUACAUGCAAGUCGAGCGAACAGACGAGGAGCUUGCUCCUCUGACGUUAGCGGCGGACGGGUGAGUAACACGUGGAUAACCUACCUAUAAGACUGGGAUAACUUCGGGAAACCGGAGCUAAUACCGGAUAAUAUAUUGAACCGCAUGGUUCAAUAGUGAAAGACGGUUUUGCUGUCACUUAUAGAUGGAUCCGCGCCGCAUUAGCUAGUUGGUAAGGUAACGGCUUACCAAGGCAACGAUGCGUAGCCGACCUGAGAGGGUGAUCGGCCACACUGGAACUGAGACACGGUCCAGACUCCUACGGGAGGCAGCAGUAGGGACUCUUCCGCAUGGGGCGAAAGCCUGACGGAGCAACGCCGCGUGAGUGAUGAAGGUCUUCGGAUCGUAAAACUCUGUUAUUAGGGAAGAACAAAUGUGUAAGUAACUAUGCACGUCUUGACGGUACCUAAUCAGAAAGCCACGGCUAACUACGUG
rnacentral:rRNA from 1 species